rnacentral:lncRNA from 1 species
AUCCCUGUCUCCCUAGAGACAUUUGCUUAUGUCACAGUCCCUGUCACCUUGAGAAGGUGACUCCUGGGAGUGGUAACACAGGUGAAUUGAUGUCUGUGCUAGUGGUGGUGAACUUAUGGCACAUGUGCCACAGUGGGCUUCUUGUUAUCAUUGAAAGCUCUAAAAGUUUUGCCAUCAUUGGUCUAUACUUUCAUGGGACCAGCUCCAGAGCAGAGUGGACAUGUCAGAAUAGCUCCCACUGUGCCACCGCAUUCCCCCGCGAACAGAUGCACCAGCGUGUCCCUCUGGCUCAUUGUCUCUCCAUCAUGUCCUCCUGGCGCUGAGGCCUGAAACGGAUGCGGCUGCCCGCUACUGUGGGCGGCUUCGGUCCUGGAAGGAGACAUACAACGCCCUGGGACGGCGAGGGGAUGGCCAAGAAGCAGCUGCAGAGGGCAACCCGUGCAGCCCUCCCCGUGUGCCGCCACCAGCUCUGUCGCCCACUCACCCACUCUUAUCCUUUUAAUUAAACCCCAGAACAUAAAGCUCCAACCAUAAGGUGUGGGAUGAUUCCUGAUAGUGUUCUCAUUGCCUUUGCUCAUGCUGUCUGUCCCCAUAUCACCUCCCUACCUGACUAAACCUUAAUUAUUUGGGACUUAGUUCAGGCCCCACAUCCUUCUGGAAGAUUUC